CUUGUCUUAACUCAGAGAUCAGCCUGUUUCUGCCACCGGAGUGCUGGGAUAAAAGGCGUGCACCACCGCUGGCUGAAAAGCAGCGUACAUCUGCAGACUAGAUUUCCACCAGACACCUGAAAUGGCUUCAGCUUCUUGUUAAUCUCGCCGCAGAGGUGUGGAGAGGCUCUUUGCUUUGCAAAGAAAGAAAUGCACUUGCUUCUGCCUUGGACACUGGGGUGACUGUAAGCCUUGAAACUGAGUCCUAAGGAAAGAAAACUCAAGUUGGUUCAGGACGAAUGACACAAAAUCAAACUUCAGAUUCUGUCCUUCCUUCUGUGUUCCAUAGAUAUUACUGAGAAAAAUACAACUAAAAUUCUAUUGCUCACACCGUGCAUUUCCAUAUUAUUAUCAUGCUUUAUAAUAGCGGCUUACAAGACAAACAGCUCUUUUCAUUGAUGUAUCAUUAGGGACUUUUGUAUCUGUGUGACAUGAGGUGCAUUCUUUGAAUGAAGAGAAGCACUUGGAGCCUUGAUUCCAAAUGGUCAGACUGCAAAAGUCCUUACUGUGCCAGCAGGUGUCUUCCAUCAAACUCCCCAGGGGAGAGCUACUACCUCCUACGCAUGGAAACAAGCAAAUUCGAUUGGUCAACUUUUAAAACAAAUCACUGGAAAGUGUAAGUUUGAGGAGGAGUUUAUCAACUAUAUAGAUUGUUUCCUUAAUCACCCCUGCUAUUCCCAGGUCUAAAUUUUGGGCAUUUUUUUCUAUAACAAAAAUAAUAAAGCAAACAACAGUGCUCAUAAUUAAGUCUAUCAUAGUAGAACAUUGACAUCUCCAUCUCUUGACUCAACAAUUGGUCUGUGCUGCAGGAGGCAAGAGACUGUUUCCAGUGGAGAAGAUUAAAAUGCAAUUAUAAAUUCAUUUAUCUUCCUUCGCUCAGGGGCUCUCCGUUCUAUAACACCAUUUGCAUAAUAGGAUACUUUGUUCCCUUUUAAGUGUUAAAUUUGGAACAUUUUAUUCCAGGUGCCCAUCAAAAAAAUAAAUAAAAGGAGUUUUAAGCCCUGGGCUUUCCAUAUGUAUCUGAUGUUAAGAGUUAGUUUAUUUGGCCUGUUUUUAGGGAAAUAUAGACACUUUUUUUUUCUUCUUGUAAACAUUUCCAAGAUGAUAGAGUUCUAAAGAGUUGUAAAUAUAGAUAAAUAGAAGUUAGGAAUUCACCUCCUCUAUUCUCUACAACCAACCAAGACACACACUCACACACACACACACAUAGACACACAUAGAGACACAGACACACACACACACACACACACACACACACACACACACACACCCUCAGUGCUUUCUCUGGAGGUGUUAUGGGAGGUGCCACUUUUAUUGGGUUGGCUUCUCACUGCCCCCUCUUCCCUCAUUUCUGCUGCCUUUGUGUUAAGAUUCCUGAUCACUUUAGUCAAUGCAUACCCACACUCUUUCCUCCCACUGGUCCCUAGUGAGCAUGAACCUGUCUGGUGUUUAAUUGCCUGGUUAGCUAAGAGCUAACUGGGAAAAAAGAAAUCCCUGCUAAUGGAGAAUCUAUCAGCUCAAGUGGAACAUGAUUUAUUUUUUUAAAGGGACCCUUGGGACCUUUAAUAGUUUUGUUUAUUCAUUUAAAAAUGUGGGCACAUUGUUAGCAGGGACAGAAAGACCCAGGUCCCCCCAUGUAAACACGUUCCCCAACCUUCACACUGUCCAGUACAGUCAUACCUCUGCUGCAGGGCCUAGAGAUAAGUUAAGCUGCACACUAGGAAAUGUGUUUAGGAAUAUGAAUUAGGACAGAAAAUAGCCAAGCUAGAGAGUAUUCCAUACUAGCCUGGCACCUUUUGCAUAAUGAUUGUAAAUACUGCUCAGCAGCGUGAGGCCCUUAAACUUCACUUUUCUGAAAUUUCUCAUAGCCUAUUUGUAUUAGCAGCUGGCUUUCUUCUGAGUCAACUCUGAUUGGCUAGGACAUAGAGUCUAUGGUAUUCAAUGGGAAAAUCUAGCCUUCCUGGCGGCUGUCCUCAAUAUAGCUAUUCAAGUAGCUAAAGGACAGAUCUCCUUAGGAACCUCACAACGGCUCUUUUUUCUUGUCUCCUGAAGAUGCUCUUCCUGUGACAUUGACUGUUGAUCCCCUGCAGUUGGUGUCCUGGUUUCAGCUUGACACUGUCAAGCCAUGUAUCAAGGAAGAACACACCUGCCACCCAGGGGCAAGGCAGGUGAUGGGAGGUAGGUCAAGGGAACAGUGGGGGUCUUGCAGACCAAGAUGCCUUGUCCAUAGUAAACUAUAUAACAGAGUCCAUAGUAAACCUAAUACGCACAUGAAGUGCAGCAGUUGAGCAGCAGGUAUUUUGAAGUUCAGGAGGUAGGAAGUGUGUGUAGAUGGUGAUAGAGACUUGACUCCUUACUGUUUGUCUUGAAACUUGGAUUUGAAGAGCAGAUACUUUAUAAGAACUGAACUACUAAGGAAGAGAGUGAAUGAGCCAAUCUGUGAUUGUUUUCCAUUUAUUACAAUCUCAGAAAGAAGCACCAUAGCUCAAGGGUGGGUUGGGCACACCACUGUGGCUUCAUAAAGUCAGUGACUGAGGGUCUAUUGGGAGAAAACUUCUAUCAAUUGAGAAAAGAGGUUUUUAAAAAGAUUGCCCAUGUCACCUUCUUUAUUUAUCUUUUAUCUCUUGUUUCCUGUCUUCUCAUAGUAUUAAAAUGGAUUACACUAACAUUUUAUCUUAAAAUUUUUUUUUUAGGAAAGGUCACUUUUGAAGACUGUGCUAGGGUGGGAGAGAAUUUUGAAACAUGCUGCCCUUUCCCUAGGGAGACCCUUCCGCUAAGCUGGCUACAAGGAAAAGACAUGGUGGGAAAGAGGGGUUUGCUAACCCUGACAUUGUACCACAUUACCAAACACACUGGAUGUGGAGUGUUGCAAGAUGAGACACUAAACACAUAGCAUGUUCUCUGACCCCAGCAAUGUAAGAGUUAACUUUGUCUCUUUCAGAAAUAGAAUCACCAGAGCUCGGGCGAGAUGUGUGAUGUCCAUGACAUUCCACGGUCACUUAGAGUUCCAUCAGUAGGCUCUACGUGUGUGGGGACUGAGGAAGCAGAUAUGCAGGUUGCAUCCAUGGAGACACAUCUCUGUCAGAUGCAGUGAGAUGCGGUAGACGUAGAAAGCACAAAGGGCUGCCAAGAGCUUUAGGCACAGUAACAGCAGGAAGUACUCAGGGUACUCUUACAAGGUGCCCCCUACUUGACAGAAUCAUGAACUGAAGAAGAGGAGUGACCAGGAGAAUCAAUCGCUUAGUGCCCUCUGACUACUGACUGGUAAGUCUUUCUUAUUCUAGGCAGCAGGGACAUAAUCUGCUAGCUGUCAAGGUUGGUUCCUCUGUCCUCAGAAAAUCAGAAUGCCUGGGUUGCUUUGAUCAUUUGGACCAAUCACGAAGUUAAGACCAGUUUUAUCAGGAGUCAGUCAGGGGAGUGGUUCAGUACAGAGAACCCUGGGAAGUUUAUUGAAAUGCAGCCACAGGCUUCUGGAUCCUAUGUCCUUUCAGGGGGUCCUGAGUACAAGCAGGGCUCUUUGAGAGAGCCUUGCCUAAAGUCCCUCCUUUAAGGAUGCUGGACUUGGAAAGAGCAGAGGAAGAGACAGCUUUCCACUCAUCUUUAAACAGCCACUUCUACACACCACGGUCAGUCCCAGGACAUGCAACAACAUCAAGGACAGAGGCCCCUGAGUAUCAGGAGGCUACAGUGGCCUUAUUAUUGAUCCUCAAUCUUCCCUAAUUUCCCACAUGGCCAGAGGGUAAUGGGUAGCAGAAUGGGAGAAGAGAGAAUUCAUACAGGCUACUCUAACCACUCCCCUCUCCCUCCACAUACACUCAAUCAUAACGAUUUGUGCUGCCUAAACACUUCAGUUCUUUUUAACCGUCUUGGGAGGAAAAUGAAGUACACCAGCUAUCAGAGCAAAGCUCGGAGGACAAGGGGUUGCUGAGGCAGAAAAUCCCCCAGCGGCUGGCUUGAUGGAUGUCAGGACUUUGUCUCCUGAGAUACAGUGAUUCACAGCGGCUUUUCAGCAACCAAAAAUAAACCGUCACUCUGCUCACCAGUGAUGAGCUUACCGUC